UACGAAGGGGGGCUAGCGUUUGUUCGGAAUUACUGGGCGUAAAGCGCACGUAGGCGGACUAUUAAGUCAGGGGUGAAAUCCCGGAGCUCAACUCCGGAACUGCCUUUGAUACUGGUAGCCUAGAGAUCGGAAGAGGUGAGUGGAAUUCCCAGUGUAGAGGUGAAAUUCGUAGAUAUUGGGAAGAACACCAGUGGCGAAGGCGGCUCACUGGUCCGAUACUGACGCUGAGGUGCGAAAGCGUGGGGAGCAAACAGG
rnacentral:rRNA from 1 species